UGGAUUUGAGAGUUUCAAGACUAACAGGUGCUUUACUUGUUGCCUUUUGGUUGGAUUGUACGUGAGUUAUCUCUUGGAGUGAACUAUUAAAGAAUUCCCUCGACAUCUCCACAAGCAAUCAAGUGGCAUGGUACUUCACCUUGUGUCAAGGGUCACAUUUAUUUUAUUGAAAUUGAAUUGUAUUUUCCCUCGACAUCUCCACAAGCAAUCCAGUGGCAUGGUACUUCACCUUGUGUCAAGGGUCACAUUUAUUUUAUUGAAAUUGAAUUGUAUUUAUCUGUACACUUUCAUUGGGAAGAAUUGAUCAGGCAGGACAUGACGCGACUUAGGAUUACUGAGGACAUGGCCCUUGACAGGGAAUUCUCGAGGUCGAGCAUUAAGGUUGUAGGUUAGGGGAAGUUGUGAAUAUUUUUACAGAGCACUAGUGUGAGACUAGCCCGUUAGCUACUGAUACCUUGGAUAUUAGUAUACCUUCCAUCCUUUUCGUAUUUUCUAUAUUUCUUAUAUUGUUGUUAUUUUAUUAUUUUAUGUUAUAUUUUACAUUUUAUGUUAUUUUAGUAUGAGUCUACUGAUAGUACUAAUAUAUCGUCUCUUGUUGCUUUCUUGAGCCGAGGGUCUCCUAGAAACAACCUCUCUGCCCCUCGGGGUAGGGGUAGGGGUAAGGUCUGCGUGCAUAUUACCCUCUGCAGACUCCACUUGUGCGAUUAUACUGGGCUGUUGUUGUUGUACACUUUCAUUGAUCACAUUUAACGUGGACUUAAGAUCUUGUUGUUAGUCGUUAGUUAACUGUUCUCGGUUUCUUUAUCUGUCUGCUAUUUAUGGAAGCUUAAGGACACACAGUCUAGUAUCUUGUUACAUUUUGGUAACUCCAGAGCAUCUGAAAUUUUUUACAUCUCAAAGCUGAUUAGUUUUGGAUAUGCUUUUGUAUAAUGCAUCAUAUUUGUGGAUUAUGUCUGCA
rnacentral:lncRNA from 1 species